rnacentral:rRNA from 1 species
AAAAACAUGGCCUUUUGAGUUUUAUUUAAGGUCUAGCCUGCUCAAUGAGUUUUAAAUAGCCGCAGUAUCCUAACUGUGCAAAGGUAGCAUAAUCAUUAGUUUUUUAAUUGAAAGCUGGAAUGAAGGGUUGAAUGAGAAAGUAGCUGUCUCUGUAAAAAUUUUAUAGAAUUUUAUUUUUAAGUUAAAAAGCUUAAAUAUUAAUAAAAGACGAGAAGACCCUAUAGAGUUUUAUAUUUGUAAAAAAUUUUUCUUUUAGGAUUUUAAAAUUGAUUUUUUUAUAAUAUUUGAUUGGGGUGAUUAGAAAAUUUGAUAAACUUUUCUUUUAAUGAUACAUUUGUUUAUGAAAAAAUGAUCCUUUAUUUAGAUUAUAAGAUUAAAUUACCUUAGGGAUAACAGCGUAAUUUUUUUUGAGAGUUCUUAUCGAAAAGAAAGAUUGCGACCUCGAUGUUGGAUUAAAAUAAAUUUUUGGUGUAGAAGCUAAAUUAAUUAGGUCUGUUCGACCUUUAAAAUUUUACUUGAUCUGAGUU